AGUAAAAGUCGUAACAAGGUCUCCGUAGGUGAACCUGCGGAGGGAUCAUUACUGAGUGAGGGCCUCCGGGUCCGACCUCCAACCCUUUUGUGAACCAAACUUGUUGCUUCGGGGGAGACCCCGCCGUUUCGGCGGCGGCGGCUCCCCCGGAGGCCAAUUAACACUGCGUAACUGUUAGUCGGAGUCUAAACAAAUAAUCAAAACUUUCAACAACGGAUCUCUCGGUUCUGGCAUCGAUGAAGAACGCAGCGAAAUGCGAUAAGUAAUGUGAAUUGCAGAAUUCAGUGAAUCAUCGAAUCUUUGAACGCACAUUGCGCCCCCUGGUAUUCCGGGGGGCAUGCCUGUCCGAGCGUCAUUACACCCCUCGAGCCUGGCUCGGUAUUGGGCGCCGCGGGUCUGACCCGCGCGCCUUAAAGUCCCUCCGGCUGGACUGCUUGUCCCUGAAGCGUCGUGCAAACCUCGCGGUGGGAUUUGGUGGAUCGGCCGUUAAAUCUUUAAUCAAGGUUGACCUCGGAUCAGGUAGGGAUACCCGCUGAACUUAAGCAUAUCAAUAAGCGGAGGAAAAGAAACCAACAGGGAUUGCCCUAGUAACG
rnacentral:rRNA from 1 species